rnacentral:rRNA from 1 species
UGGGGAAUAUUGGACAAUGGGCGCAAGCCUGAUCCAGCCAUGCCGCGUGUGUGAAGAAGGCCUUCGGGUUGUAAAGCACUUUAAGCGGGGAGGAAGGCUCGAUAGCUAAUAUCUAUCGGGAUUGACGUUACCCGCAGAAUAAGCACCGGCAAACUUCGUGCCAGCAGCCGCGGUAAUACGAAGGGUGCAAGCGUUAAUCGGAAUUACUGGGCGUAAAGCGCGCGUAGGUGGUUUGGUAAGCGAUAUGUGAAAUCCCCGGGCUCAACCUGGGAACUGCAUGUCGAACUGCCAGGCUAGAGUAUGGUAGAGGGGUGUGGAAUUUCCGGUGUAGCGGUGAAAUGCGUAGAUAUCGGAAGGAACAUCAGUGGCGAAGGCGACACCCUGGACCGAUACUGACACU